rnacentral:tRNA from 1 species
GCGCCAGUAGCUCAGCUGGAUAGAGCGUCGGCCUCCGGAGCCGAAGGUCAUGGGUUCGAAUCCCGUCUGGCGCA